UACGAGGGGGCGAGGCGUUGUCCGGAUUUAUUGGGCGUAAAGAGCUCGUAGGCGGCUUGUCGCGUCGUGUGUGAAAUCUCAGGGCUCAACUCUGACAUUGCAUACGAUACGGGCAGGCUUGAGUUCGGUAGGGGAGACUGGAAUUCCUGGUGUAGCGGUGAAAUGCGCAGAUAUCAGGAAGAACACCCGUGGCGAAGGCGGCUCUCUGGGACGGUACUGACGCUGAGACGCGAAAGCGUGGGGAGCGAACAGG
rnacentral:rRNA from 1 species